ACAACGAAGAGUUUGAUCCUGGCUCAGGAUGAACGCUAGCGACAGGCUUAACACAUGCAAGUCGAGGGGCAGCGAGGUGGUAGCAAUACCGCUGUCGGCGACCGGCGCACUGGUGAGUAACACGUAUGCGACCUGCCCCCUACAGGGGUAUAACCCGUAGAAAUGCGGACUAAUCCCCCAUAGUCCUGGAGGCUGCAUGGCUUUCAGGGGAAAGGUCAGCCGGUAGGGGAUGGGCAUGCGGCGCAUUAGCUAGUUGGCGGGGCAACGGCCCACCAAGGCGACGAUGCGUAGGGGUUCUGAGAGGAAGGUCCCCCACACUGGUACUGAGACACGGACCAGACUCCUACGGGAGGCAGCAGUGAGGAAUAUUGGUCAAUGGGCGCAGGCCUGAACCAGCCAAGU
rnacentral:rRNA from 1 species